rnacentral:tRNA from 2 species
CCGGGCGCCCGACGGCGGGCGCCCGGGCGCUCCGGAUGCACGGCGGGCCUCCGCGGUGAAGGCUGAGUACGGGACCCGGCGCCCGGC